UCGAAAUGCGGCUGACCUUUCUUCUCGUUUGGAAAAGGCUCAACAACCAAUCGUCGAUCUGGAAGCUCGGUCGCGUCGGAAUAUCCGAAUUGUUGGAUUAAAAGAAAAAUCAGAAAGUGCCGACACACUGGAUUAUUUUGCCAAAACGUUUGUCUCUAUUUCCGGAGGCUUGUUCACAGCCGCCGGAGACUGAAAUGGCUCAAAGACUCUCUUGGACCAAGUUCCGGAGCAUGCAUAUUUCGUAUAUGGUUAUACAUAUCACCGCCAGUUUUGAUUAGACCGCGCUGGGAAAAUCCUUACCUGCGAAGAAUCGGAGGUGACCGGAAGGAUGUUUUCUCUCCUUCUUUUUCCUCUAAUUUUAUCCUCAAAUGGACUGCCCAAUCUUUCCUUUCUUUUAUUUUCUUUUUUUUUUGUUUCAAUUUAGUUUAGUGGGGUUUUCUUUUCCUUUUAUUAAUUAAAAUUUUCCAACGUUUUCUUUAAGAUUUGUUAAGAGGAGUUGUGGUUUUUCGUUGUGGUUUGUGGUUGUGGUUAUAACAGCGUAACAUUAUACCUAUCUGAUUUUGACAAUAUAUAGUUUUUUUUUGCUGUUUAUACAUCUUUUGUAUUAUCUGUUUGCUAAACUUCUCCUCUGAUUUGUAUAU